GUAAAGUUGUCUUUGUUAGAGUAAUUUGGACAAUAUAAAUUGAAAAUUAUUUGUGUAUAUGGAAAAGAUUAACCUCAGGGGUCACUUCGCCGGACUCCGUAGCAAUCUCCACCACUCCAAUCGUAAUGGUGAGUAAAUCACUUGUGUUUGUUUCCAUUUUUUCAAUUGGAAAUUGGGGGUUUUGAAUUCAUAUUUUGUCAAUUGGUUUUGUGAGCACUGAGAAUACACUACGAGCUUGUGUGUGUGUACAAUAUGUUGGAUUUGAUCUUUAUAAAGAAUGCGAGAAAUUGGGGUUAGGAAAGAGAAGAAAAGGAAACAGAACUCGAACUUCGAUCUUCAUUCUUGUUACUAAAGGAGAAAACCGAAUUUGAACCGGUUCAUACGUAAUCGAACCGAAUUUGUAUAGUUCGGUUCACCCCUUAGUACCGAACCGUACCAUACCAAAAAAAAUUUCUUGAGUUUGGUUUUGAUACAUCCCUCAUACUGUACCAUACCAAAUCGUGGCCAGACCUACUGAAUACAAAACUUAUAUCUGGGUCGUAAGUCGUAAGGCCUCCAAAAAAAAAGUUCAUAUUAUUCAUACCAAUCGGACAAAUCCCGCACCCAAAAACAAUGGCUAGAUAGAAAGUUCAAUUAUAGAUUAGGUAAUCUAUCCUUUUCAACUUAAAUGCACAUUCAUGAUGGUUAUGCAAAUCAUAUUAUGUUAACAAAUGCAACAAUUAAUUAUAUUUAUCCAUUUGGAAUGAUAUAUAUUUUCAAAGAUGGAAUUACAGACCCCGUUGACGUUGAGGCCAUUGCAUGAGAGAAUUUUAGAUGAUUUUCAAUUAAUUUAUAUUAUUGUUGUGAUAACCAUAAUAAUUAUUUUCUAAAUGUAAAACUAUAUUAAUGAAAUUUUCUUUGUCGGUCAAAAGAAGAUGAAAAGAUAUCUUUAUCUUCUAUCACAACAAAAAAAUUAAGGAUAUUAAUGUAAUAGGCUAAUAGCGAUGGGGUGAAGAAAUGGAACUAUCCUAAAUAGGCAGUUGCUGGUUAUAUUGGAUCAGGUGGUCUGAAUGAUUGGAUAAUUAGCAAAUAAAAAGGUUCCAUUUUUCAUGGACCCUCAAGUGGAAAUAUGGGAUAAAAGAUGGCAUAUACCAUUUUAUCCAUUUGUGAUUGUACAUUUUGAUGGUUGUGAUUUCACCCGAUGGCGCGGCAAGUGUGGAUUGGGAUAAGGAUGGUUUUGGUCUAUCAUCAAAGAUGGUUUGAUGUUCACGACUGGAUUUUACAACGCAUCCAAGUGCAUGGGUUCUAUAAAUACAGAGUUGCGCACAAUAAAAAAGUACAAAGGACCUUCAAACCUUUCACACACUCUGAGAAACUCCUGAUUCUCCCAACUUCGUCAACACAUCUUCAAUUUGGAUUAACAUCACUGUUUGUCAGUGAGGAGUCCUUAGUCUUCUCGUCUCAUUAGCCCUCUAGGUGAAGUGAGGUGUUACUGAAUUACUUGAGUAUUCAGCACAUUGAAAGUCGAACCUUAUUUGAACUUCACAGUAGUUAGCAAUCUUAUCUUCAGGUUUUAGAACCCAAUGCCAAGACAUAUUCCUUCCUCGACAGUGAUGGUUUGUACACAAAAGUUGGUUUGUACACAUAAGUCAGUAUUGUGUUUGACACACCAUCCCAUUCAUUCUACUAGCCCACAAACGCGUGGACUCGUCCAAAAUUACCCCACUCUCGGCCCGUUCACUUGCCCACUCGUCCCACGCGGCCCGUGAGUCUUCAGUGCCUGAUAGGGGGGCCUACUGUUAGGGCCGUUGUUGGCCACAACCCAGAGCCCAACGAUUUUUUUUUGCAUCCCACGACUGGCAUUUUUGGACCGUUGGUUGAUCCAACGGUCCAGAUUCAAAUUUUGUUUUUUUAAAUGUUAUUUUAAAAUACAUUGAAUCCAACGGCUGAGAUCGAAUAUAAUCAAAUCUAACGGUAAAAUAAAAAAAGAUAAAAAAAGAUAUAACAGUCCAAAUUUAAAUCCAACAGCUAAAAUAAUUUUAAAAAAAAUUAUUUAACUCAAAAUUCACCCAAAAACUCUAUAAAUACCUUUGUAUUUGUUCAAACAUCCACACAAAACUCAAUUUUCUCCCACAAUUCUUCCAUUUUUUCUUUCUACCAUUUCUUUCCAUUUCCAAAUUGUUCAACACGAUCCUUGAAUUGGCCAUCCCAAGCAGUAAGACAAUUCUUCCACUCCCAAAGCAUACAAUCGAGACUUCCUAUCAUGUCAGGAAAGCCUAUUUUGUCUGCUUUGAGUAGAAUGUGACGACAUGUCCCGAAUUAUUAUAUAUUUUUCUCCCUAAGUGUGUAAAGUGACGGUAAUGCCCUCGUGAUUUAGUGACGUGGAUGUACAUAUGUAGUUUUAAAUUAUUAUUUCUAUUGUCGUAGUUAAAUUGUACUCGACGCCAUGAGUGUGUUGAUGUGACCUAGGGCUAAAACAAAUUCGUAACGAAGAAGUUACGAACAGACGAGUGUGUAAAUGCGUAGAAAUAUAUUUUUAUGGGUUGGCUAUACCUUACCCACCAAUCACCUUAAUUCCUGAUUUCUUUGGCCUAAUUGAAUUAAAAAUAUCUCUCAUUUUUCCUUCUGCCCAAUCACGCACAUACACACCAUCACUCUCUCUCUUCUCUCGGACCUUCUUCUUCUUUCUUCUCAUUCCGUACACCCGAGCCACCCUUACCUCACAAUCAUCAUCAAAACAUUAUGGAUCGAAUUGGAAAUCACUACCAUCGCAGUCACCUCGAUCCCACGAACUCAUUGAUACCCUUAGGUCGAGGAAUAGACGUCGGGAAUUCGAGAACUCGGGAGCUCUGGCGAGGUGUAUUUUUCUACUUUGUGAUCGUGGUCUUUUUCUAUGGUUUAAAGGCUUGAGGUGGGUCCUAAUCAACUUUAUAGGGACCCUAGAUUAGUUUUGGAGCAGUUUGAACGUUGGAAUAGGUGAGAACAUGGAGUUGCAGGUUGGCCGGUUGAUCCAAGCCUUACUCCGACCACUUUCUGUCGGUUUUAGAACCUCAAGUAGGUAAGAUUGUAUUCUUCUAGUUGAGAGUUUCAAAUCCAUAUAAAAUUCAUGGAAUUUGGUUGAAAAAUGAUGAAGAUAUUAAAGUUUUAAGAUUUUUCCAAAAAUCAGCGACACAAACGGCGCCCGACGGCCAGCGAUGGAUUCCGACAAAGCCAUCGGAGAAGGAGGAGAAUAUUAUGUCUAACUUUGACAGAAUAUACUAACAGCGUCAGGUAACUCUAUUAGUUUUUAAACAAAAUAUUCUACUAUUUAAUGAAAUAUUCCCUAACGCCGUUAGGGAUUCCGUGCCUGCACGUGCCGGCUUAUGAGGGCGCGUGAGACGUCAGGAAAUUAAUCUAAAAAUAUUGGGGUGUUCGAGUUGUUGAGUAGGUCAUGUUGGUAUAUUCAAACACCCUAUUUGAGCAACGUAUGAGAAGUUAUUCCUAGGGUUUGUGUAUGUGCCUUAAAAUUAAUGUAAAAUUAGUUAUUUCGCAUAUAGGUGAGACUUACCCGGAGGACAAACGUGGUCAAACGAGACUUGGGGGCUACGAUCCUACUACUUACCAGUGAGCGGGCUUUUUUUUUCUAUAUAUAUGUAAAUAUGCUUAUGAAUCCCAUAAACUACUUUAAAUGAACGUAUGUUUUAAAUGCCAUGUCGUGUGCAUUAUGUGUUAGUAUUGCAUUAGUAUAGCUAUGCAUAGUAUUGGAUGAGACUGCGCAGACUCAGGUAAGUUUCAGGUGAGUACAUCAUGAUGGUAUUGGGUGCGUGUGUGUGGUUAUACGUUGAUGCAUUUUGAGCUUAUUAUCCUGCACAUUGGUGUUAGUGUUCUCGCCCAUGGCCAGGGCAUAGUUUUUCACAUGAUGUUCACCUCCUGGGCCGCACGCUCACUUUGGAUCCAAGUUUGGUGCACAGCCAUAUUGCACAGACCACAAUAGGUGGUUCCGACUCGUAGGUGACCUGCAAUUAUUUGCACAGCCUUCACGUGAUCGUAGCACUUAAGCGUACUUAUCUACACCCAGCCCUGUUGUACAGACCACAAUAGGUGGUUCCGACUUAUGUGCAUGCAUACUUGAUGAGCUAUAGAUUCAAUUGUACAGGUUACAUUAGGUGACUCCGGUUGGCAUACUAUUUUAGGUUGAUUCGUAUCACCUGGCUUACACAUUUUAUGGUUGAACAUCUUGACAUGGCAUACCUCUGUUUUCACUGCUCUAAGCAUUAUCCUUAUGUACCUAGUUGUUAUUAUUUUCUGGAAAAUUAUAUGGGUUUACAGUGAGGGGUUAGUAUGUUCAUAAAGACAACUGUGUUUUCAAAAACUUUGUUUUUGCCUACUCACAUUUUUUGUUUUGCACCCUUUCAGGUUCUAGGUAGUUGGUCAUCCUUGGUGGCUCACGAGGACUUUCACGGCGGUUCUGACAUCUCUGUAAAUAAGUAGGGAUUUUUUUCCCUGUUUGUAUAAUUAGUACUUAGUUGGUUCGAUUGCACUUUCGUUUACCCAUGCUCUGAUAUUUGUAUAACUUGCUUGGUCAUCUUUACUCACUUAUAUUAUCUUAGUUUAGAUAAGUUUGGUUUUAGGUUUUUAUUUAUUCGCAUUUCUUUUAUUAUUACUUCUGUUGCGCAUUUUGGCUACGUUACUCUUACGUGACGGGCAUCAUGUUUCGACUUCGGUUGGGGUGUGUCAUAAAAGCCUCUUCAAGUCUUCAUGAUUUGGCUUGCAGAGAUAUGUGGCUCCAUAUGUGGCCUGAAUUGCCCCACAGAAGCGCUCCAGGUUUUUAAUAGCAGUAGUCUCCGCAAGUCGGCAAUACUCAUCAGUUGAGUUUGCAGAGCACUCAUUAGCUAGCAUCCGAAAUGCAGAUGUGAGCUUCUGAUGAGGUGAUAGACUUUGUCGGCCUACGACAUUUAUCUUCCUUGCAAAGUAGUGGUCAUGAUUGACAACUGUGUUCAAGAUGCUUUCAAAAAUCUCUCUCCUCAUUCGAAACCGUCUCCGAAAAUCAUGAGCAGGAAAUCUCGGACGCUCAAUAAAAUAAUAUUUCAUCAUUCGGUCAUGACACUCUUCUCUAUCACGUUGCACAAAUGAACGCUUCGUGACAUAACCACAAUAGCUAGAUUCGACAUGGUGCUCAUAUUGCAUAAGCGAGUUUGGAAGUUUAGCUUAUGCGUUGAUCAUUUUUGAAUCCUCAAUGUCAAGGCUUGCUUGGUAUUAUGUCAUUUGCAUUGCCCUGCUACACCUUCUUCUAUCAUCCAUUGUUGAUAUAUUGAGGAUUUUUAUGAAACAAAAACACUUUGAAAGUUGAAAGAUUAGUGAAUAUAGGGAAUGAUUGAAGGUUGAAAGAUUGUGUGACCAACUGAUAUUGAACAUGUGUUUAUAUAGAGGAUGAUUGAUGAAAGUUGAAAGUUUGGUGAAAGUUGAACGGUUGGUGAAAGUUGAAGAUUUGUGAAAGUUAAAGACUUGCUUUGUGGAAAGAUUUAGUGAUUUUUUCAAUAUUUAUUGGAAUUUAAAUAUUUUUAUAUUAAAAUGUUCAUAAAAUUAAUUUACCAUAGGCUACAUAAUUUUUUUUAAAAGUUAAUUUAAGAAAAAAAAUUAGCCUAAGUUCAUUCUUUAAUAAUCCCGAACUAAAAUUUUAGGCUAGGGUUGGAGCAGAAAAACUGUUUCUGUGUUAAAAGCUAAAUUUUUUAGAUUAAAAAUUUUAAAUUUUAACCCAAAGGUUGGAGAUGAUUUAAGAAUGGAUAAACUUAACCAAGAAAAGAAGAAAAAAGAUGAAGGGCAAAUAAGUGAGAAGCAACAUGACACGACACACGGACGACCAUAGCAAUAAAGCGUGCGUCCUCACGUCCAUUGAAUAUAUAGAUGGGAGCUACAACAUCGUGUUUCACGUGCAUGUGUAUUAUACAUAAAGGCAUAUACAGUGUUAGCUUAUAUAUUAUAAAGUUUGUAGGCCACUUACCCAAUUUGGCAUAUGUUUUAUCUUUUUACGUGAAUAACCAAUGUGUUAUGAUGAUACAAGUCUCUUAACAUAUCCGGAGUUAGAAAUAUCAUAAGACAGUGUUGCGAUCAUAUUGAAAUUAAUUGACAGUUUGUAUUAUAUAUUUGAUUAUUCUUUAUUAACUUAAGGAGACAGCAUACUUAGACCUAAUUUAGUCACAUUCUCCAACCGAAAAUAAAGCGGUGUAGUAUUCAUACACUUUUUUUUAUUUCUUACACAGUCUUAAUUAAUUUCUAUUGUUUGAUCUUCUUCAAUUCAUUCGAUCUGACGACCGAAAAUUAAGAUGGUGUGUGGACGAGUAAAUUAUAACAAUGGUCCCUCAACUUUAAUCAAAUUGGAGCAAGGGUGCUCAACUAAAAAUCCAUUACCAUUGGUUCCUCAACUCAUCAAAAUGUGUAGCUAUGGUCAUUUUCGUCAACUUCGUUACAAUUUUGUCAAAAUAAGUUAUAUUGGAAUGACUAUUGCUACAAUUGGGGUCCCUCAACUCAUCAAAACGUGUAGCUAUGGUCAUUUUCAUCAAUUUCGUUAGAAUUUUAUCAAAAUGAGUUUUGUUGGAAUGACCAUUGCUACAAUUGAAUUAAAGUUGAGGGACUAUUAUUUCAAUUGAGUUAAAGUUGAAAGAUCAUUUCUUCAGUUGUAUUAAAGUUGAAGGAUCAAUGGUAAUGAAUUUUUAGUUGAGGGGACUAUAGCUGCACGUUUUAAUGAGUUGAGAGAACAAUAAUAAUGAAUUUUUAGUUGAAAAACUAUUACUUCAAUUGAGUUAAAAUUAAGAAACAAUUGCUACAAUUUUUUUAUAUGGAAAGUGGAUGAUGUGAAUAGCACAUCCAAAAAUAAAAGGGAACUUUAACGAAAAGCACCCGGUACUGUUCACUUUAACGAAAAACCACAUUUUUACACUAAAAAGUCAAUCCUGGUACUAUUCACUUUACCCUUUAUUUUGUCCUUAUCAUUAAAACUCAAAGUUUUCAAGCCCUUUUCAUUAGUUUUCCUAAAAUAAAAUGCACCACAAUUUGGUAGGAUCUUCCUGUUGAGAGUAAUAAAUUAAUAAUUGCCGAAAUAUUGGAUAAUUUGUCGGCCACAACGCUAUGAGGGAGUAUCUGGGGAUGAAUAUACUCUUGCCGACAGAUGCCCAAAUUCCAACUGCCAUUCAAAUGAGCCCUCCACCACCACCGGCCAUAAUAAAUUCUCUUUCUUUAGUGAAGAAGAAAAAGAGGUACUUGGCCCUCACCUCAACUUUUUGAGAAAGAACAAGUUUAUCGCUAUCAGAAUGUUUCGGUCAAUUAUAUAAGUUAUGUGUAAAUUUUUCUUUAGAUAACAUUACAUUAUUAUAUUUAAAAUGUUCCGUAACGAUAAAUUUGUUUCAUACAAAUUAUUCUCCAACUUCUUGGAUUUUUCUCCUUUUUCCCGAAAACCAGCUUAUAUUAGUGUUCAUCCUCUGUCAAUAUCACUCGCCCACAACUAUUCAACUAACUUUUAAUAAUUUGACAACGUGUCAUAUUUUUGUGCAAAGCGGGCCCAUUUUUGUGGGUGAUAUAAUAAUGGCGUAUGUGGUUUGUCAAGACAUAUACUCAUUUAUCCAUUAGCAGUUAGGUAAGUCACCUCACUCACCCACAGCCUAACACAUCAACAAAUAUUGCUUACAAAUUCUAGAAAAUUCGACCAAGAAAAAAAACCAAAUGCUCGCAAAUUAAAAUUGUGUAACAUGAUUAGUUUUUUAUCCAUUAGUAUUAAUUUUACGUUGGAAGAAAUUCCAAAUUUAUUCUUGUAAAGAGGGAUAUGAAAAUACUUUGUAUGUCUAUCACCAAAAUCUUCGAAUGUUUGAAUGGUUGAUUUUCAAGUCUCACACAAUUGGAUUUAGUUCAAGUGAGAAAGAAAUACACUCAAACUAUUAGAUAUGAGGAAUGAAAAUACACUACAAAAUCUUGUGAACAUUUCUAAUAUUCUCUUCUAUCUACUUUUUGUGAACCAAGUUUUUAUUUGUUUUUUUUUUUAACAAAAGAUAUUUUUUAUACUAGGGAAAUAAGGUGGGUUUAGCCUCAUAAUGGGCUAACAUAAUCUAGUUCAAACUUGCAUUUGGUGAGAAUCGAACCUAAAAUCUCUCACUUACAAGUGAAGAGGAAUACCAUUAGAAGUGUCAUGAAAUUAGCAGUCUUAUAUGUAAAAAAUUGAUUGACUAAAUGCUGUGUUAAAAAACAAGAUUAAUACUUGCAUCUCCCCACUUGGAAAAUGCAAAUAUUUCAUUUCUUGCAAAUAACGUAUAUCAUGCGUUCUGUUCAAUCGCAUAUUCAAAAAUGUUAAAAACAAGAUUAAUAUUUCUAUCUCCCCACUUGGAAAAUGCAGUAUUUCAUUUUUUACGAAUAACGUAUAUCCUGUGUUCCGUCCAAUCGCGUAUUAAAAAAAUGUGUGAAGUUUGGAUUAACUACACUCUUUGAGAAUUUCCUUAAAUAACCACUUUUUGAAAAUUUCUUAUAGGACUAAGUGAGUCUCCGCUGAGAAUUUCCUUAACUAACACAACACUACUUGAGUGAUAAUUUGUUAUAUCUUGAAUAGAGAAUAAAUCAGUUCCCUACUUUUGAAGGUACUAUUAACUUACACUAUAUUUGAAUGAGAACAAUAAACUUAGAAUUUAGAUGAAGGAAAUAAAACAGUUUCCUACUUUUGAAGGUACUACUCGAGUGAUAAUUUGUUAUAUCUUGAUAACGUGUCAUAUUUUUUUGCUAAGCGGACCCAUUUUUGUGGGGUGGUAUAAUAAUGGCGUUUGUUGUUUGUCAAGGGCAUAUACCCAUUUAUCCAUUAGCAGUUAGGUCACCUCACUCACCCACAACCUAGUACAUCAACAAAUAUUGCUUACAAAUUCUAGAAAAUUCAACCAAGAGAAAGAAAACCAAAUGCUCGCAAAUUAAUCUGUGUAACAUUAGUUUUUAUCCAUUAGUAUUUAUUUUACAUUGGAAGAAAUUCCAAAUUUAAUCUCGUAAAGAGGGAUAUGAAAAUACUUUGUAUAUCUAUUAUCAAAAUCUUUGAAUGUUUGAAUGAUUGAUCAUCAAGUCUCACACGAUUGAAUUUAGUUCAAGUGAGGAAGAAAUACACACAAACUAUUAUAUAUGAGGAUUGAAAAAUACACUACAAAAUCUUGUGAUAACAUUUCUAAUAUUCCUUUCUAUCUACAUUUUGUGAUAAGUUUUUUUUUUCCUUUUUUGAACAAACUAUAUUUAUCUACAUUAAGGGAGAGGAGGUGAUCUUAGCCUCACAAUGGGCUAGCAUAAUGUGGUUCAAAUUCGCCUUUGGCGAUAAUCGAACCUAAAACUUAUCAUUUACAAGUAAAUAGGAAUACCACUAGAUGGAUCAUGAAAUUAGCAGUCUUAUAGGUAAAAAAAAAUUGAUCGACUAAAUGAUGUGUUAAAAAACAAGAUUAAUACUUGCAUCUCUCCACUUGAAAAAUGUAGAUAUUUCUGUGAACACGGAAAAUUCCUGAAACGAAAGAGACAAGAACAACGUGCACAAAAUAAUAUUUUGGUGUUAAUGGAUUUGUUGGGUUACGAUCUCUUUUAACUUGAUCCUCUGAUUCGAUCUCCGUAAGGUGUUGAUUUAUGGAUGUUUCGUUGAUCCAAGGGCUGUUGAGGCUUGAUCUUAGAUGAACUGUUGGAAGUUUCUUCAAGGGGCCGUGGGCUUGAUCUUUGAAGGUGGAUUUGAGCGGAUCUUCAAGGAGCCGUUGGGGCUUGAUCUUGAGGAUGAGUGUUUCUUCAAGGGCCGUUAAGGCUUGAUCUUGAAUAACGGUGAUGAACGGAUCUUCAAGGGCUUUUGGGCUUGAUCUUGAAGAACGGUUGGAUGUGUGGAUUUGUUGAUGUUGUUGAUCCAAGGGCCGUCGGAGCUUGAUCUUGGAAGAACGAUGAACGAAGAACGAAGAACACUUUCUUCAAAGGCCGUCGGGGCUUGAUCUUGAAUUGGUGAUUGUUGAUCCAAGGGCCGUCGGGGCUUGAUCUUGGAAGAACGAUGAACGAAGAACGAAGAACACUUUCUUCAAGGGCUGUCGGGGCUUGAUCUUGAAUUGGUGAUUGUUAAUCCAAGGGCCGUCGGGGCUUGAUCUUGAUUCUUCGGGAUGAACGGAUGAUGAACAAUGAACACUUUCUUCAAGGGCCGUCGGGGCUUGAUCUUGAAUUGGUGGAAGUUCUUCAAGGGCCUUUGGGGCUUGAUCUUGAAGGUGGAUGAUUGUUGAUCCAAGGGCCGUCGGGGCUUGAUCUUGGGAUGAACAGUUGUGUGGAUUUGUUGAACACUUUCUUCAAGGGCCGUCGAUGCUUGAUCUUGAAUUGGUGGAAGUUCUUCAAGGGCCGUUGGGGCUUGAUCUUGAAGGAGGAUUUGACGAAGAACGAAGAGGGCUUUCUUGAUCCUUCGGGAUUUGCUUGAAUUUGGGAGGUUGGAUGCUUGAAAGCUUUAGAGUUUCAAAGCUUCAAGGAUUUUGGAUGUGUGGGGAGUAUUCUCUUCCAUUUUGGGAGUAGAGAAAUGUAUUUGUGAAUUGGUUUUUGAUACCUUGAUGUAGAAGCCUAUUUAUAGGCUUUGAGAAUGAAUCACCACCACAAAAUAUUUUUUUUCUUUUCCAAGCACCAUUGCCUAAUUUCCCACUUAAUACAAUUUUAAACUUGAAGUGGUAAUUUUAUGGCCUAAUUUUCCACUUAAUAUCAUUUUAAACUUGAUAUGUGCAUGCUUUGUCAUUGCCCAAAAUGAGAAGAAAACCUUGUUUUGAUCUUCAAUGAAUUGAAAUGUGCUUGCCUUGUCAUUGCCCAAAAUGAGAAGAAAAACUUGUGUAAUCCUUCAAGGGUAUUUCUUUUUAUUUUGUUGAGUCGCACACCAUGUGUACAAUUUGUAUGACACGUGGCAUAUGCCAUGUACGCCUUGACACGUCAAAAUUUUAAUGCGUUGGUGAACAUUUAUUUCACCGCAAUUUCGGUGUCUACAAAUGCCCCCACUUCAAGGUGCGUCGUAUACAUGUGCUUGUCACGUGUAGGAGAUGCGUUUUGAAGUCCCUUACUGUAGAUGUCAAUCCAAUGGCCAUCGAGGCUUGAUCUUGAAUUGGGCUGGAGAUUUCUUCAAGGGCCGUUGAGGCUUGUUCUUGGACUUUGUUUGAAAUUUCUUCAAGGGCCAUCGAGGCUUGAUCUUGAAGGUUGAAAUUGGACCACAAGGAGCUUCAUGUGGUAGAUGAUCUUUGGCUUUGGUAGUGGAUGAAUCGGCACGUAUUUGUUUUUGCGCUUUGUUGACUUUCCACAGCUUUGAUCUUGAACUGGGUUGGAGGAUUUUUUGGAUUCCUCCAAUUGUUGAUUUUCCACAGUUUAUUCUUGAACUGGAUUUGAUUCAAAUAUGGUGGACGCUUGAUCUUGAAUCGGACUUGUGAUUUCCUCAAGGGCCGUCGAGGCUUGAUCUUGAAUUUGGCCGGAAACUUCUUCAAGGGCCGUUGAGGCUUGAUUCUUGAAGGUUGACUCGAACACAUGGCAAGCAGGCACGAGGUGAAGGUGACGACUUGUUGCUUUGUUCAAUCUUUCUAAUUCACACCUGAGCAGUUUGGUCAACGGUAUGAUCUUCAAGAUUGAUGGGCUCUUCUUCCAGUUGGUGAUUUGAUCUUUAAGGAUUUGAUUCAAGGGUGGUGAAACGGCACAUGCAGCCCACAACGCCUAGCAAGUCGACCCAAGAAUUUGAGGGUUAAAACGAGUCCUCCACCCAGAGUGAUUGCAAACCUGAUGAUAUGAGAUACUUUUGAUUUUGAAGAAGUAGCGGAUGAAUCGGCACGUGCUUUGUUGUGCUUGUCUCCACAUGCUUCAAUGUAUCAUUUUCCCUUGUCUUAUCUAUUCUUCUAGCAGAAUGUAGCAUCUUCUUAAGUUCUUCAACUCAGACUCCUUCUGCUGAGCUGACUGUGCAGGCUGCAUUAUUCUCUGCUUGUUUCUUUAGGCAGAUGUGGCAGCUUCUUGAGUUCCUCAGCUCGGACUCCUUCUGCUGAGCUGAUUGUGAAGACUGCAUUCUUAUCUGCUUGUUUCUUCUGUACGUUGUCUCCACAUGCUGCAAGGUAUCAUUUUCAAUUGCCUUAUUUGUUUUCCAGGCAAAUGUGGCAUCCGAGUUUGAGUGGAGGUUCUGGCAUAUUGUUUUCUUUAUCCUUGUCUUUGUAGGUAAGAACAAGGACAAAGGAAAGGACAGGGAGAACGCAUGAUAUGAUAUACUCUUGCUUUCUACCCUGGUGAUAUGAGAUACUUUUGCUUUGGUGUCAUUUGUUUGCAGAGGUACCCCAAGGAAUAAGAAACACUGAGUGACUCGAGAGGCUUUGUUGGGAAGGCAUUCUAGGAGAUGAAGAAAGGUUCUUGGAGAUGAAGAAAGGUUCUCGGAGAUGAAGAAAGGUUAUGUAUGUCUGCCUUGCUAUGGAGGGUAAAGGUGGACAGUUAUAGGAAAUUCUUUAGUACCUGUAGAGGUACUAUUCUUUUACUCGUGUCGGCAACCAAUGUGUGAUUGAUCAGUAUGGCUUCACGUGUUUUCUUCUUUAUCAGAAAUCUUCGACAAAUUGUCCGUAAUUUUCGUCAAGCUGAGUGUGCAUGUGACAGGUGUUGACGAGGCUGAAAAAGACUGGUGCCUCUUCGAUAUCUGGGAUCGGCGCUUCGACAAAUUGCCCGUGAUUUCCGCAAAGCUGAGUUUGCGCGUGACGGGUGCUGACGAGGCUGAAAAAGACUGGCGCCUCUUCGAUAUCUGGGAUUGGCGCUUUAACAAAUUGCCCAUGAUUUCUGCAAAGCUGAGUUUGCACGUGACGGGUGCUAACGCGUCUGGAAAAGCAAGAUGCUUCUCCGAUUUCUGAGCUUGCCUCUUUGAUUUUUGAAUUGGCCUCUUCGAAUUCUGAGCUCGCCUCUUCGAUCUUUGAAAUCCCAUCGAGUGUUGAUCUUUAUAGAGGCACGCAGUUCGUUUCAAAGCACACUUGAAUUUUCGCUUGUAGAAACUCCCUUCUUGCACUUCUAAGAUCUUGAUUUGUCCGACCUCUUCUUUCUUCAACACCUUUGAAAAUGUCUGGACCCUCCGACCGUCAUUUUGAUUUGAACCUUGGUGAAGAGGUAGUCCCGUCUUCUCCAGAUAACAUAUGACGCCCAUCUUUCAUAUCCCCUACUGGUCCUCUUACCGUUGGGGAUUCGGUGGUGAAGAAUGAUAUGACCGCUGCGGUGGUGGCCCGAAACCUUGUCACUCCCAGAGAUAACAGACUACUUUCCAAACGGUCUGAUGAGUUGGCUGUUAAGGAUUCUCUGGCUCUCAGUGUGCAGUGUGCAGGUUCUGUGUCUAAUAUGGCCCAACGCCUAUUUGCUCGAACCCGUCAAGUUGAAUCAUUGGCGGCUGAAGUGAUGAGUCUCAAACAGGAGAUAUUAGAGGGCUCAAGCAGAGAGAUAAACAGUUGCAUAAGCUCGCACAUAGCUAUGCGACAAACAUGAAGAGGAAGAUUAACCAGAUGCAGGAAUCUGAUGGUCAGAUUUUACUUGAUCAUCAGAGGUUUGUGGGUUUGUUCCAGCAGCAUUUGCCUUCGUCUUCUGGGGCUGUACCGCGUAAUGAAGCUCCAAAUGAUCAACCCUUGGCUCCUCUUCUUCCUGGAGUUCCGCCGAGUGGUGUGGCUUCAAACAGUCAACCUCCGACGCCUCUCAUUUCUGGAGCUCUGCUGAGUGGUGAGGUGGCACCUAAUCGUCCUUGAAGAUCCCCUCUUGUAAAUUUGAUUUGAUUUUUUUUUAAGUAUGUAUAAUGCAAAUUUAUGUAAAAUUUCCAGAAAAAAUAAAUAAAAACGGACUUUAUUUCUCUCAAUGCAUUUGUUUUGUUUUGUUUUUGUUUUUUUUGUUUUUUUGUUUUUGUUUUUUUUGUAAAUACAUAAUAACAUAUGUAUUUAUUUAUUUAUUCUUUUGUAAUAAAAUUGACUUUCUUUAAUAAAACUUUUAUAUUUUUCUUAUUUAUUUUGAUAUGACUGAACUCGAAAUUGAAUGUUCGAGCCGCCUACGUACCCUUCCAAAGAAGAGAUCAAGCCAUAACGUAGUUCAAAUGAGUGAUGAAUUUAAUAGUGAUUUUGAUGAUGAUUUUGCCGUACACAGUUUAUGCUCUUGUGGGCCAGGAGCUUUGGUGUUGCCUUUUAUGCUCGUGCAGACCAGGAGCGUUGAUGUCGCCUUUUAUGCUCGUGUGGGUCAGGAGCGUUGAUGUUGCCUUUUAUGCUCGUGCAGACCAGGAGCUUUGUGCCAUGCAGUUUAGACUCGUGCGGGCAAGGAGCUUUGGUUCGUGCAGUUUAGGCUCAUGCGAACAAGGAGCAUUGGUUCGUGCAGUUUAGGCUCGUGCGAACAAGGAGCAUUGGUGUUGCCUUUUAUGCUCGUGCAGACCAGGAGCUUUGUGCUAUGCAGUUUAGACUCGUGCGGGUGAGGAGAAUUUGUGAAUUUUGUCAAGCACUUUUGGAGAGGCGUUCCUUACAAUCUUCAUAGCAAGGAGCCUUGACCGAGUGAUUGAAGAAGUCUUCGGGAAAGAAGUCGCACAUCGUGAUGGCAACAGACGAUCUUUGUGUCGUAAUUUCAUCAUCUUCAACACGUUCACGUUGCUUUGAAGGUUGACAAGAGCUGCUUUGCCCCCUUUCCGAUUGGCGGACUUGUGGAGGAGACGUAUGCUUCUUGUGCCAUUUCUUAGGAGUGACUUGAGUCCAUCCUUCAAGUUUGCUUGUUUUGGAGGAUGCCCCCGGCGGUUGAGGUGAAAAUUUUGUGUUGAAAGAGCCAGAAGUGAUGGUGGUAUAGUUUGACUUCACCACAUCGUCAAGAUCUAGCUCGAUGAUUCCUUUCUGAGCCCACUUUAUGAUGAGAUCUUUCAGCACAAAGCACUUUUCUGUCGGAUGACUGAUGAAGCGGUGGAAUUUACAGUAUCUUGGACUGUUGGUACGAUUCAUCUCUUCCGGCCAUCUGCACUCAGGCAAACUGAUCACCUUCUUGUCCAACAGGUCAUCCAACAUGGCAACCACAUCAGAGUCAGGGAAUGGAUAAGUCUUCUCUUUAAGCUCCUUCAAAGUGCGUCUACGCAUCUCUUGAUCACGAAAAGCUUCGGUUUGAAUCGUUUUGCCUCGUGUGGAGAUUUUGACGGGAGAUGUGUUGACUGUCAUUGCUUCCUUGGUGGAUUUCCACGUAGCCUUCUCCACCUUUGUCUCAAGAAUUUUGUCGUUCUUGUAGUCGGCGAUCGGUUCCUUCUUCCCAUGAUGGGUGAUGCUCAACUCCAUGUCAUGGGCGUGGGUGGCCAAUUCCUCGAAGGUCCGUGGUUUAAUGCCUUGAAGGAUGUAUUGCAAACCUCAUUGCAUGCCUUGGAUGCACAUCUCGAUUGAAGAGGUCUCCGAGAGCCUAUCUUUGCAGUCGAGGCUUAGAGUGCGCCAUCUGUUGAUGUAGUCAAUGACCGGCUCAUCUUUCCAUUGCUUCAUACUUGUGAGCUCCAACAUGCUUACAGUGCGGCGGGUGUUGUAGAAGCGGUUGAGGAAUUCCCGCUCCAAUUGCUCCCAGCUGUUGAUGGACUCAGGCUCUAGGUCCGUGUACCACUCAAAUGCGUUUCUUUUCAGCGAGCGCAUAAACUGCUUGGCGAAGUAGUCCCCCUCCGUCCCCGCGUUGUUGCAAGUUUUGACGAAAUGUGCAACGUGCUGCUUUGGGUUUCCUUUUCCAUCAAACUGCAUGAACUUUGGUGGUUGAUAUCCCAUCGGCAUCUUUAGGGCAUCAAUCUUCUUUGAAUAAGGCUUUGAGUACAACCCGGAGGUAUUUGAGCUCCCUUCGUACUAUGCCUUGACGGUGCUGGCAAUCAUCUCUUGCAACUGUUGGAUAGAAAGAGAUCCCAUGAGUGCCGCUUCUUGGUCUGGCUCCGGCUUCACAUCGAUUUUCUCCACCGUAGGCUCAUCUUCUGGGUUAGGGUUCUCGCUGUCCUGUGGCUCCAGUUGACUGAUGAGUGCAGCGAUUUGCAAGUCUUUUUCUUCCACAGUUCGGGUUAGCCUUGCGAUUGCUUCAUUCAUUUGAGCCAGUUGUUCUUCGAUGGAGGUAACGCCGAUGGUCAUGACUUGUGCAACCAAUAGACGUGACUUUCCUUUAGACAUCCAAGAUGCUGAAGAAGAACGUCAUUGGUUGUUUUGGGAUGUCAUCUUGUGUGCCUCAGCAACAUGCUUUGGUGCCCCCAGCGAGGUCAGGUUGAUGACAGACUCACACCUUUGAUGCUCCCUUUGCUCUUUUAGCGGCACCAACUUUGAAGUGGCAUGUUAAGGAGCGGUUGUGGUGCUAAUGGAUUGUCCAUUUGCGGCAGAAGUGCUUAGGAUCCUUCCCUCAGUGAUUGCGAGAACGGCUUGUCCCUUGCUUGAUGCCAUUGAUUUUGAGGUGUGUUUGGAUUCCUUAAACGGAGAAAGAUAUGAGAGGUAGAGAUUGUCCCACCGGGCGUGCCAAUUUGUGAACACGAAAAUUUCCUGAAACGAAAGAGACAAGAACAACGUGCACAAAAUAAUAUUUUGGUGUUAAUGGAUUUGUUGGGUUACGAUCUCUUUUAACUUGAUCCUCUGAUUCGAUCUCCGUAAGGUGUUGAUUUAUGGAUGUUUCGUUGAUCUAAGGGCCGUCGAGGCUUGAUCUUGGAUGAACUGUUGGAAGUUUCUUCAAGGGGCCGUGGGCUUGAUCUUUGAAGGUGGAUUUGAGCGGAUCUUCAAGGAGCCGUUGGGGCUUGAUCUUGAGGAUGAGUGUUUCUUCAAGGGCCGUUAAGGCUUGAUCUUGAAUAACGGUGAUGAACGGAUCUUCAAGGGCUUUUGGGCUUGAUCUUGAAGAACGGUUGGAUGUGUGGAUUUGUUGAUGUUGUUGAUCCAAGGGCCGUCGGGGCUUGAUCUUGGAAGAACGAUGAACGAAGAACGAAGAACACUUUCUUCAAAGGCCGUCGGGGCUUGAUCUUGAAUUGGUGAUUGUUGAUCCAAGGGCCGUCGGGGCUUGAUCUUGGAAGAACGGUGAACGAAGAAUGAAGAACGAAGAACACUUUCUUCAAGGGCCGUCGGGGCUUGAUCUUGAAUUGGUGAUUGUUAAUCAAAGGGCCGUCGGGGCUUGAUCUUGGAAGAACGAUGAACGAAGAACGAAGAAGGCUUUCUUGAUUCUUCGGGAUGAACGGAUGAUGAACAAUGAACACUUUCUUCAAGGGCCAUCGGGGCUUGAUCUUGAAUUGGUGGAAGUUCUUCAGGGCCUUUGGGGCUUGAUCUUGAAGGUGGAUGAUUGUUGAUCCAAGGGCCGUCGGGGCUUGAUCUUGGGAUGAACAGUUGUGUGGAUUUGUUGAACACUUUCUUCAAGGGCCGUCGAUGCUUGAUCUUGAAUUGGUGGAAGUUCGUCAAGGGCCGUUGGGGCUUGAUCUUGAAGAAGGAUUUGACGAAGAACGAAGAGAGCUUUCUUGAUCCUUCGGAAUUUGCUUGAAUUUGGGAGGUUGGAUGCUUGAAAGCUUUAGAGUUUCAAAGCUUCAAGGAUUUUGGAUGUGUGGGGAGUAUUCUCUUACAUUUUGGGAGUAGAGAAAUGUAUUUGUGAAUUGGUUUUUGAUACCUUGAUGUAGAAGCCUAUUUAUAGGCUUUGAGAAUGAAUCACCACCACAAAAUAUUUUUUUCUUUUCCAAGCACCAUUGCCUAAUUUCCCACUUAAUACAAUUUUAAACUUGAAGUGGUAAUUUUAUGGCCUAAUUUUCCACUUAAUAUCAUUUUAAACUUGAUAUGUGCAUGCUUUGUCAUUGCCCAAAAUGAGAAGAAAACCUUGUUUUGAUCUUCAAUGGAUUGAAAUGUGCUUUGCCUUGUCAUUGCCCAAAAUGAGAAGAAAAACUUGUGUAAUCCUCCAAGGGUAUUUCUUUUUAUUUUGUUGAGUCACACACCAUGUGUACAAUUUGUAUGACACGUGGCAUAUGCCAUAUAUGCCUUGACACGUCAAAAUUUUAAUGCGUUGGUGAACAUUUAUUUCACCGCAAUUUCGAUGUCUACAAUUUCAUUUCUUGUGAAUAAUGUUUAUCCUGUGUUCUGUCCAAUCGCGUAUUAAAAAAUGUGUGAAGUUUGGAUUAACCACACUCUUUUAGAAUUUCCUUUAUUUACCACUUUUUGAGAAUUUCCAAUAAGACUGGGUGAGUCUCCGCUGAGAAUUUCCUCAACUAACACCACACUACUUGAGGGAUAAUUUGUUAUAUCUUUGAAUAAAGAAUAAAACAGUUUCCUACUUUUGAAGGUACUAUUAACUUACACUAUAUUUGGAUGAAGGUCAAACUUUAUAAAUUGACAUACACCAAAUUCUUUGUUUGGAUUCAUAAACAUAUAAAUUUAGAAUUUCCGCGUGGAAAAAAAAAAUACUUAGAAUUUGAGACCUCCAAUUCUCAAAUUGAAAGUUUAAAAAUAAUAAAUUCCGUAUUCAAUUCAAUUGUUCUUUUAGGUUAACCAAAUAAGAAAAUUCACAAAUUCUAAAAUAUAAAAUCUCAUCAUUUCAAUUUCCGUCAUUUUAAAAUUCCUUAGUAAUAUUAAAUUUCUUCAUCCAAACAUAGUGUUAAGAAAUUUUUUAAAGAUACACUAUUUACACUCAUUUUUAUUUCUUACACAUUUAUUAACUUUGUCCAUUGAUUUCUUCAAUUCAUUUUGCCAGUUAUACAAAAAUUGAGAACAGUAUUUAUGAAUUAAAAAUACAUUUGUAGAUGUCACUACCAAAUUUUUAUUCCUAAUUCAAGAAAAUCUUAUCCAUAUAUGAUUGCCCUUGCCCACUUUAAAUGGGUGCCAUCACUUUACGAUAGAGCAAUCCUAACCGUCCACCUAGGUAAGCAUAACUGGCGAUGCAUGUCGCAAGGGGACCGCAUUGCACAAUAUAAUUAUACUAGUUGAUAAGACAAGUGAUGUCAAUCAAUAAAUUAUUUCAUUAAAACUUAGUUGUAUGUAUCAUAUGUUGUAAUGUAGGGUGUAUGAUAUGCUGACGCUGUAAAAAAAUGUAACCUUUUUAAUAUUACUCAUAAUAGUAAGACUUACCAGUAUUAGGAUGUUAUCAGUGGAAUGAGAAUCCUCUCCAGAUCUUUUUUGUGAGCUAUUAUUUGUAUUUAAUUUUAAAUAUAAAAAAUUAAAAUAAUUUAUGACGGCAGUGAUUCACAUGAUCUUCACAAAGAGAAUCCAAAUAAUCUUAAUUUAUAUCAGUGUGUCUAGAUAACAUGAUCGAGCCCCUUUACUUUUACCCUAUUUAGUAUUUUACAUUUGAACCUGUAAAUAUUCGAUUUUUCUUUGGUGCAACCGAGCACCAAAUAUAGAUUUUUUUUCACUUUUAUAUAAUGAUAAAUAAAGGGCAAUUGGCAGAUUUGAAUUCCAUUCGGAUUGGUCAAAAAUCAUUUUAAAUUGUUUUAUUUAAAAUUAAACACAUAUAGUACUUAAUAAAAAUUAGUCGUACAAUAUACGAUAAACAGAUAUAAUGUAAGGACCUUUAUGAUCUUCACAAAAAAGAUCCAAAGGUUGUGUAGCUGUUUCAAAAGGAUAAUACUCACUUUUGAUUAGUUCAAUGAAAUUUUAAACAUGUUUUAUUGUUUUAAAAAAUAAUAAACAUAUUUAUUAAUGUUUGUUUUACUUUAAAAAAUAAGCAGCACUUGACAACAUUUGAUUGUGCUAAAUAAAAAAUGAGUGACCACUUAGUACUACAGUCUUAUGAUAUUUUUCUUCAUUUGAAAGUGAGAGGUUUUAAGUUCGAAUCUCGUGGAUGACGAAUUUGAUAUCAAAUUAGAUUGCUCACUAUGUGGCUUAGCCGAACUCUCAUUUCCUUUAAUGUAAAAAUAUUGAUGUAUUCAAAAAAAUAAAAAGUGACUAUAGAGGACACUCAAUCUCAGCUGUAUGAUUAAAUCAGACGGUAAGAAAAAUUCUGCAAGCAUACUCGGUUACAUUAAUUGAAGAAAAAAUGGGUAAAUAUUGGGCACCAACGUUAUAAAUACCCUCCACCAUGCACCCAACUCCCUCACACCAUCACAACCCACGUUACAAAUCCUCCUCCUCAUCAUAACCAUUCUGUUUUCCGCAUAAUAUCCAAAAACCUAUCAUGUCUGAAGAGAAACACCACCGCGGUCUCUUCCACCACCACAAGGAUGAAGACAAACCCUCAGACUACCCUCAGUCUGGCUACUCUGAUGAAGGACGUCCCGGCGGCCUCGGUGGUGGUUACGGCGACACCAAUGAUUAUUCUGGUGAAGGACGUACCGGCGGCCUAGGUGGUGGCUAUGGCGACACCAAUGCUUAUUCUGGUGAAGGACGUCCCGGCGGCUAUGGCGGCUAUAACGAGACCACUGCUUACUCUGAGGAAAGAGUUGAAAGACCCGGCGGUGGCCGGUACAGUGAGACUACUGCGGCAUAUGGCAGCACCACCACUCAUGAAUCUGAACUUGAUUACAAGAAGGAGGAGAAGCACCACAAGCAU
rnacentral:lncRNA from 1 species